ACGUAGGGGGCAAGCGUUGCUCGGAAUUACUGGGCGUAAAGGGAGUGUAGGUGGCUGAUUAAGUUAAGGAUGAAAUCCCUAGGCUCAACUUCGGAACUGUACUUGAUACUGGUCAGCUUGAGUCUAGUAAAGGAGAGCGGAAUUCCCGGUGGAGCGGUGAAAUGCGUAGAUAUCGGGCGGAACACCAGAUGCGUAGGCGGUUCUCUAGGCUAGUCCUGACACUGGUACUCGAAAGCUAGGGGAGCAAACGG
rnacentral:rRNA from 1 species